CGGCAACAGCUCAAAUUUGAAAUCUGGCCUUUGGCCCGAGUUGUAAUUUGUAGAGGAUGCUUUUGGUGCGGUGCCUUCCGAGUUCCCUGGAACGGGACGCCUUAGAGGGUGAGAAUCCCGUCUUGGACCGGCGGUAGGGCCUGUGUAAAACUCCUUCGAC
rnacentral:rRNA from 1 species